UUGUAUCAAAAACCAAAUAUUUCUUAACCACACUAUUAGAUUAAUACAAAAUUUUAUUUACAUUUAACACAUUUAACACAUUUAAUCAAUCGAGCAUUAUCAAAUUUUAAAUUAUAGAUAUAGUACCAUUUGUAUGAUCUAGCCAAAAGUACUAGUCCUAAUUGUAUUAUAUAAAUUUAUAGUCAUCAAUACAAACCCU
rnacentral:lncRNA from 1 species